rnacentral:rRNA from 14 species
GCUGGUGCGCCGGUUGUCCCGCCAGGGGCAUCGCCGGGUAGCUAAGUCGGGAUGGGAUAAGCGCUGAAAGCAUAUAAGCGCGAAACCCGCCACAAGAUGAGAUCUCUUUAAAGGACCGUGGGAGAUGACCACGUCGAUAGGCCGUAGGUGGAAGUGCAGCGAUGCAUGUAGCCGAGCGGUACUAAUUGUCCGUAAGCUU